rnacentral:snoRNA from 1 species
GAUCGCAAUGAUGACACAUUAAAAUUCAAGCUCAUCAGACCGGAUUACAGGCAUUCUUUCUGAAAGUUUGUAUGGCGAUUACCGCUGAACUGAGCGAUC